rnacentral:lncRNA from 1 species
AACAAUUUUAAAUGAUACUUUCCAGAAUAUAUUAUUGUUCAUGUACAGGGUAUUGACCCCGAGGAAGACUUGGAAGAACUUGAAGAUAGCUGGCUUGAGACCCUCUAAUGUCUGUCUCCUCAACACUGGAAUUACAGGAACAUACUGCUGUGACUGUUCUCAUAUGAGUGCUACAGCUCAUACUCAAGACUUCAUGUUUGUGUACUGAGCUUUCUCUGCAUCCCCAGAUAUUUUAUGCAAGAGAGAGCCUGGACAGUGUCAAAUGAAACAAGCAAUUAGUUGCUUUCUAACCGUGAGCAGUUCAAACUGUAACAUCAUGCCAGACGUGAUUAAGAAUGAUACAGCACAUCAUCAUUGUCAACACUAUUCAGCCAAUGUAAACCUUAGUUAGAAAUGUACUUGUCAGAGAAAAAUGCGCCUUUGAUUUCUAUUGCACUUUCCCAGUAAUUGCUGUCAUCAGUGGCAGGUUAUUAUUACAGUUGAAUAGAGUUUCAGUAAUUACUUUUCCACAGAUUCUAACAGCUUUUAGAUUGAAGGAUAUUCUGACAGUUUGAAUACUCUUGACAACAAUUACCUUUUUCCUGGUUAACACUGAUUCAGGAAAAUUAAAAAUUAAAUCUGUUCAGAGGAAACACUUAUGUAUGUCACUAGUAAGUGCGUUGAUAUAAAAAAUGUGUAAAUUGCAGAAUGACUUAGAUUUUUUUAAAGUUCUCUUUCACUCAAGUAUUUUUGAAAAUCAGCAUUUUGGGAG